rnacentral:tRNA from 1 species
GGCUCCGUGGCUUAAUGGUUACGGCUUCUGCCUCACAAGCCGAAGGUUCAGGGAUCAAAUCCCGGUCGGUACCU